rnacentral:tRNA from 1 species
GGGAAUAUAGCUUAGCUGGUAGAGUGCUUGCCUAGCACGCACAAGGCCCUGGGUUCAAUCCCCAGUACUACAA